rnacentral:rRNA from 1 species
AUUGAACGCUGGCGGCAGGCCUAACACAUGCAAGUCGAGCGGAGCGGCGGGCGGGUGGGUCAUGCAUAGUAAUCUACAUGGUAGUGGGGGGUGGCAUCACGAACGGAGACCUAAUACCACAUACUCUCCCAUCAGCCUUGGUGGGAUUAGCUAGUUGGUGGGGUAAGGGCAUACCAAGGCGACGAUCCGUAACUGGUCUGAGAGGAUGAUCAGUCACACUGGAACUGAGACACGGUCCAGACUCCUACGGGAGGCAGCAGUGGGGAAUAUUGGACAAUGGGCGAAAGCCUGAUCCAGCCAUGCCGCGUGUGUGAAGAAGGUCUUCGGAUUGUAAAGCACUUUAAGUGAGGAGGCGUUACCAACAGAAGAAGCACCGGCUAACUCCGUGCCAGCAGCCGCGGUAAUAC